AUGUUUCGGUCAUAUUCCCGAUAGUUUUCAACCUACUGGACGACUCGGAGGCAAAUCUGAAGAAUAUUGGCUAACUGUACAAGAGUACAAUACAAUCACAUCGCCACACAUAUACUGUUGAACUGUGAAGAACUUAAGCCAUACGAAAGACUUUUUGACGAGGAUGUUUUGGCAACAUAUCCUAAUCUAAGUGGGGAGGAACUUGAAGGAAUGAAGGAACAACAUUAUGCAUCUUGGCUUCGAGACUACAUUCGGUAGUCCCACACCGUAGGAUUGGGUCCCGCACCGUGUUGCAUGUGAAAUAUGGAUCUAUGGGUCCAAUUUUUAACACUCCAUAGCAC